AGAUAUCCAUCGAGAUUAACCUUGAAUCCUUCUUCUCAUGGUGAUCUUUCUUCUCCAAAAAAGAUUUAUACCUCUUUAAAUCUUGAUCAGCAAAUGAUCUCGACUGCAACUUCAACCCUUGAACUACAGCCUCCUUCUUGUUUCUUGCUGUAGAAGAGACUCUUCUUCUUCUUGGCAUAUGGAAUACGGGUACCCAACCCUUGGGCAUGAAAAAGAAAAGAGGGAGAGAGGGUGUGGCAUGGAGAAGG
rnacentral:lncRNA from 1 species